rnacentral:rRNA from 1 species
CCGGCGCACGGGUGAGUAACACGUAUCCAACCUGCCGAUAACUCGGGGAUAGCCUUUCGAAAGAAAGAUUAAUACCCGAUGGUAUAAUCAGACCGCAUGGUUUGAUUAUUAAAGAAUUUCGGUUAUCGAUGGGGAUGCGUUCCAUUAGGCAGUUGGUGAGGUAAAGGCUCACCAAGGCGACGAUCGGUAGCUGGUCUGAGAGGACGACCAGCCACACUGGGACUGAGACACGGCCCAG